rnacentral:rRNA from 1 species
GACUGAGACAAUGGGCCCCUACCUAGCGAAUGGAAGUAAAAAGUCGUAACAAGGUUUCCGUAGGUGAACCUAGGGGAGGAUCAUUCUCGAGUCUUGACUGGGGUUGCAGCUGGCCUUCCGAGGCACUGUGCACGCCCUGUUCAAUCCGCUCUACACCUGUGCACUUAUUGUGGGUUUAAGAUGGUGAAACAAAAGUCUUUUAUAGGCUUGUGAAGCCAUCUGCACCUGCGUUUAUUAUAAACUCUUGAAAAGUAUUAGAAUGUAUAUUGGGAUAUAAGGGUAUAUAUAUAUACAACUUUCAGCAACGGAUCUCUUGGCUCUCGCAUCGAUGAAGAACGCAGCGAAAUGCGAUAAGUAAUGUGAAUUGCAGAAUUCAGUGAAUCAUCGAAUCUUUGAACGCACCUUGCGCUCCUUGGUAUUCCGAGGAGCAUGCCUGUUUGAGUGUCAUGAAAUCUUCAACCUAUAAGCCUUUGUGGUUUGUAGGCUUGGACUUGGAGGCUUGUCGGCCCUUAUAUAUAGUGGUCGGCUCCUCUUAAAUGCAUUAGCUUGGAUUCCUUGUGGAUCGGCUCUCGGUGUGAUAAUUGUCUAUGCCGCGACCGUGAAGCGUUUGGCGAGCUUCUAAUCGCUUUAUUAUAAGACAAUAAAUUGACCUCUGACCUCAAAUGCAGGUAGGACUACCCGCUGAACUUAAGCAUAUCAAUAAAGCGGAGGAAU